AUUUGCAGAGACUAAGGGUGAACAUCUCAGAAACGCUGGCCUCCGUGCAAAGAAAGGGGGAGCGAAGACUGAGCAAUUUGAUCUUCCCCCAGAUAGGAAGCAGGGAAACAAGGGCUCUUUGUCUCCACCCGAAGCCCAGAACUAUGUCAAUGCCAGAAGGCCAUGGUGAAAAGGGUGCUGUCAACAUUUGGCCUCAUUUGCAUGUCAGGCUGCCUGCAUAUUGUGACCUGUGUGGAGGAAUGCUGCGCCGCUAUCCAGAAAAUGCGCCUGCAGAGAAAUGGCUGUCCUGGACCCUGCCAGAGAGCAGACGCGGUGUGCGGCAUCUCCCGAGUCCCUUCCUCCAACACUCGUCAUUCCGAACCCUGUUCAAGUACGUCCCCAGCCUCUGCUCAUUGUCCCCUGCAAUUCGAA